UACGUAGGGUGCAAGCGUUGUCCGGAAUUAUUGGGCGUAAAGAGCUCGUAGGCGGUUUGUCGCGUCGAAUGUGAAAACCCGGGGCUCAACCCCGGGCCUGCAUUCGAUACGGGCAGACUAGAGUUCGGUAGGGGAGUCUGGAAUUCCUGGUGUAGCGGUGAAAUGCGCAGAUAUCAGGAGGAACACCGGUGGCGAAGGCGGGACUCUGGGCCGAUACUGACGCUGAGGAGCGAAAGCGUGGGGAGCAAACGGG
rnacentral:rRNA from 1 species